CCUACGUGUGGCAGCAGUGAGGAAUAUUGGUCAAUGGACGAGAGUCUGAACCAGCCAAGUAGCGUGAAGGAUGACUGCCCUAUGGGUUGUAAACUUCUUUUAUAUGGGAAUAAAUUGUGCCACGUGUGGGAUUUUGUAUGUACCAUAUGAAUAAGGAUCGGCUCACUCCGUGCCAGCAGCCGCGGUAAUACGGAGGAUCCGAGCGUUAUCCGGAUUUAUUGGGUUGAAAGGGAGCGUAGGUGGAUUGUUAAGUGAGUUGUGAAAGUUUGCGGCUCAACCGUAAAAUUGCAGUUGAAACUGGCAGUCUUGAGUACAGUAGAGGUAGGCGGAAUUCGUGGUGUAGCGGUGAAAUGCUUAGAUAUCACGAAGAACUCCGAUUGCGAAGGCAGUUCACUGCACUGCAACUGACACUGAUGCUCGAAAGUGUGGGUAUCAAACAGGAUUAGAUACCCCUGUAGUC
rnacentral:rRNA from 1 species